GAGUUCACUUUCAUGCCUUUAGAAGUGAGAGCUGUUUUGUUGUGCCUCCUUCCUAAGGAGAAACAGGAUUGCACCCUGAUGGUAGCAUCUUGCAGAGAGGAUGGAUGGAGAAAGCAAUACCUUCACUGGAUGCUGAUGUGAUGCUUUCUGCUCUCUGUACAGACAGCAUCUCCAGCUCUUCUGAAGCAACUCGUGACCCUGCAGCCACAGCAGAGCUGUUGUUUAUUCACAGCAGAUGGGAUCUGUGUUCAGUGGAUGUUUGCAGGGCUGCUUCCAGGGCUGAAAACCCCCCUUAUUUGCUUGCU